rnacentral:rRNA from 1 species
UUGCUUCUCUUGAGAGCGGCGGACGGGUGAGUAAUGCCUAGGAAUCUGCCUGGUAGUGGGGGAUAACGUUCGGAAACGGACGCUAAUACCGCAUACGUCCUACGGGAGAAAGCAGGGGACCUUCGGGCCUUGCGCUAUCAGAUGAGCCUAGGUCGGAUUAGCUAGUUGGUGGGGUAAUGGCUCACCAAGGCGACGAUCCGUAACUGGUCUGAGAGGAUGAUCAGUCACACUGGAACUGAGACACGGUCCAGACUCCUACGGGAGGCAGCAGUGGGGAAUAUUGGACAAUGGGCGAAAGCCUGAUCCAGCCAUGCCGCGUGUGUGAAGAAGGUCUUCGGAUUGUAAAGCACUUUAAGUUGGGAGGAAGGGUUGUAGAUUAAUACUCUGCAAUUUUGACGUUACCGACAGAAUAAGCACCGGCUAACUCUGUGCCAGCAGCCGCGGUAAUACAGAGGGUGCAAGCGUUAAUCGGAAUUACUGGGCGUAAAGCGCGCGUAGGUGGUUUGUUAAAGUUGGAUGUGAAAAUCCCCCGGGCUCAACCUGGGAAACUGCAUUCAAAAACUGACUGACUAGAGUAUG